rnacentral:lncRNA from 1 species
UAAGAGAAAAAGGGAAAAAAAUUUUGUGUUAUUCAUAUAUAUAUGUACGUAUGUAUAUAUAUAUAUAUAUAUAUAUAUAAGAGAAAAAAAAAAAUAAAAACAACAAAUAACAAUAAAAACAAUACUUUACAUUAUGGCCAAUACAGAAGUGAACUCUAAACAAAUAAAUGAUGUUGCAACAGAUAGUGCUAGUAGUACUAUUGAUACUAGUAAUACAAAAAAAGAAGCAGAAGUACAUGAGGAAUACAAUUUUAUUAAUUAUGGUGAAAAACGAGAUGUUGUGAAAAAAGAAAGACACAGAGAUAUUAUAACACACGAAAAAAAAAAUAAAAAAGGUAACAGACACUUUAAUAAAGAUAAAACAAAAAAAAAAACAUUAUUUCAAAACGCUCAUAAAAAUGAGAGUGAAAGUGAAAAUGAAAAUGAAAAUGAUACGAGCGUAAAUAUAGAAAAACCUUUUGAAAAAUUUAGUGACAACAUUGACAGUAAUAGUAAUGUAGAUAAUAAUUUAAUUAUGCAAAAUGUAGUGUUUCAUAAAAUUUACGAAAGUGAUGAUAAUGUUAAUAGCAUAUCUAGGCGAAAUAGUUUAAAUGAAACUGAAAAAGAAAAUAAUAAAAAUAACAGUGACAAUGAUAGUACCAUUUAUAGCAAUAGCAAAAAUGAUAACAUCAAUGAAAAUAAUAAGAAUAAUAAUAAAAACAAUUAUAACAUGAGUAAUGUAAAAACAAAUGCUUUAUCACUGCAGUCAUAUAUUUAUAAAAGUUAUGGUAAAGUAUCAAAUGCUUUAAUAAAAACUUCAAAAACACUCCUAAAAAAAAAUCUUAGCACUACUAACUUAGAUAGUAUUAAUAGUAAUAUUAGCGAAAAUAACGGUAACAAUAAUAACGACAAAAAAACAAAAGAUAACGGCGACGAAUUUAUAGAUAAUUAUGAAUUUGAUACAGCUUUAAAAAAAAGUAAUGAAAAAAUUGAGAAAGUUGAUAAAAAUGAUAAAACUGAUAAAACUGAGAAAACUGAGAAAUAUAAGAAAAACGAAAAAAAUGAAAAAAAUAAGAAU